rnacentral:rRNA from 1 species
CAGCCGCCGCGGGAAUACAAAGGGUGCAAGCGUUACUCGGAAUUACUGGGCGUAAAGCGUGCGUAGGCGGCUUUUUAAGUCGGAUGUAAAAUCCCUGAGCUUAACUUAGGAAUUGCAUUCGAUACUGGGAAGCUAGAGUAUGGGAGAGGAUGGUAGAAUUCCAGGUGUAGCGGUGAAAUGCGUAGAGAUCUGGAGGAAUACCGAUGGCGAAGGCAGCCAUCUGGCCUAAUACUGACGCUGAGGUACGAAAGCAUGGGGAGCAAACAGGAUUAGAUACCCGCGUAGUCCCUGUCUCUUAUAC